rnacentral:rRNA from 1 species
GACGAACGCUGGCGGCGUGCCUAACACAUGCAAGUCGAGCGAGAAUUUCACGACGGAAUCCUUCGGGAUGAAGAUGUGAAAGGAAAGCGGCGGACGGGUGAGUAACGCGUGAGUAACCUGCCUAUCAGAGGGGGACAACAUUUCGAAAGGAAUGCUAAUACCGCAUAAAAUAACAGUACCGCAUGAUACAGUUAUCAAAGAUUUAUCGCUGAUAGAUGGACUCGCGUCUGAUUAGAUAGUUGGUGAGGUAACGGCUCACCAAGUCGACGAUCAGUAGCCGAACUGAGAGGUUGAACGGCCACAUUGGGACUGAGACACGGCCCAGACUCCUACGGGAGGCAGCAGUGGGGAAUAUUGCACAAUGGGGGAAACCCUGAUGCAGCGACGCCGCGUGGAGGAAGAAGGUCUUCGGAUUGUAAACUCCUGUUGUUGAGGAAGAUAAUGACGGUACUCAACAAGGAAGUGACGGCUAACUACGUGCCAGCAGCCG